rnacentral:rRNA from 1 species
UACGUAGGCAGCGAGCGUUGUUCGGAGUUACUGGGCGUAAAGCGUGCGUAGGCGGUUGUCUAAGUUUGGUGUGAAAUCUCCUGGCUUAACUGGGAGGGUGCGCCGAAAACUGGGUGACUGGAGUGUCGGAGAGGUAAGCGGAAUUCCUGGUGUAGCGGUGAAAUGCGUAGAGAUCAGGAGGAACACCUGUGGUGUAGACAGCUUACUGGACGAUAACUGACGCUGAGGCACGAAAGCGUGGGUAGCAAACAGG